AGUCGUAACAAGGUUUCCGUAGGUGAACCUGCGGAAGGAUCAUUGUCGAAUCCUGCGAAGCAGACGACCCGAGAACUUGUAUAUCACAGGGGCGCCUGGGACGCGGGAAACCACGGACCGGCGCCCUGAGCACGACGUCGACCAUCGGUCGCCCGUCGUGCACAUAAACAACCCCGGGCGCAUAAAAGCGCCAAGGAAAACAAGAAAAGGAUUGCCUGCCUCUCGAUGCGCCGUACGCGGAAUGCGCGGGAGGGAAAAGGCGCCUGAAUAAACAUAAACGACUCUCGGCAACGGAUAUCUCGGCUCUCGCAUCGAUGAAGAACGUAGCGAACUGCGAUACUUGGUGUGAAUUGCAGAAUCCCGUGAACCAUCGAGUCUUUGAACGCAAGUUGCGCCCGAAGCCAUUAGGCCGAGGGCACGUCUGCCUGGGCGUCACGCAUCGCGUCGCCCCCCCAACCUCGUGCGUUGACUCGUACGGGUGACAUGAGGGGGCGGAUGAUGGCUUCCCGUGUCUAGUCGCGGCUGGCCUAAAUGUGAGUCCCUUGCGACGGACGUGACGACAAGUGGUGGUUGAUUGCCUCAACUAAGGUGCUGUUGUUUACGGACGUCGAAUUAGGAAUCUCUCCGACCCUAAUGCAUGCAUCAUAAUGCUUGCUACGACCGCGACCCC
rnacentral:rRNA from 1 species